rnacentral:rRNA from 1 species
GUGUCAGCAGCCGCGGUAAAACGUAGGAGACGAGCGUUAUCCGGAUUUACUGGGCGUAAAGCGCGUGCAGGCGGUUAGAUAAGUCAUUUGUGAAAGCGCCCGGCUCAACUGGGUGAGGCCAGAUGAGACUGUCUAACUUGAGAGAGGUAGAGGCAAACGGAAUUCCGGGUGGAGUGGUGAAAUGCGUAGAGAUCCGGAGGAACACCAGUGGCGAAGGCGGUUUGCUGGGCCUACUCUGACGCUCAGACGCGACAGCAUGGGGAGCGAACGGGAUUAGAAACCCCCGUAGUCC